rnacentral:rRNA from 1 species
GAUGAACGCUAGCGGCAGGCUUAACACAUGCAAGUCGAGGGCAGCAUAAACAUUGCUUGCAAUGUUUGAUGGCGACCGGCGCACGGGUGCGUAACGCGUAUGUAACCUACCUCAAACAGGGCAUAACACUGAGAAAUUGGUACUAAUUCCCCCAUAAUAACUUCGGGAGGCAUCUUCUGAAGUUGAAAGUUCCGGCCGCGGAUGAGGAUGCGUAUGACUAGGUAGUAGGCGGGGUAACGGCCCACCUAGCCUUCGAUCAUUAGGGGUUCUGAGAGGAAGGUCCCCCANACUGGAACUGAGGACACGGUCCAGACUCCCUACGGGAGGCAGCAGUGAGGAAUAGUUGGUCCAAU